GGGAGGAUGAGACUGUGGGGGGCGGCGCUGCAGGCGGCGGGCCGGGCCGGCCGGAGGGAAGGCUUCCCCCUGCAGGGCCACGACGUGGCGCGCUGGUUCCCGGGCCACAUGGCCAAAGGGCUGCGGAAGAUGCAGAGCCUCCUGAAGCAGGUCGACGGGGUCAUCGAGGUCCACGACGCCAGGAUCCCACUCUCCGGCCGAAACCCUCUGUUCCAGGAGACCUUGGGAAUCAGACCUCACCUGCUCGUCCUCAACAAGAUGGAUCUGGCGGAUCUCAAAGAGCAGAAGGAGAUUGUGCACCACUUGGAGAAAGAAGGGCUGAAAAAUGUCAUCUUUACCAACUGUACAAAGGAUGAAAAUAUAAAUCAGGUCGUUCCGCUGGUCACCAAAAUGAUCGAGAGCAGCUACCGCUAUCAUCGAGGAGAGAACCCGGAAUCCUGCAUCAUGGUCAUCGGGGUUCCCAACGUGGGCAAGUCCUCACUCAUCAACUCCCUGCGACGGCACCACCUCCGCAAAGGAAAAGCCUCCAGGGUCGGAGGUCAUCCCGGGAUUACUCGAGCAGUGAUGUCCAAAAUUCAGGUGUGUGAGCGGCCCUUGAUGUUCCUUCUGGAUACCCCCGGGGUCCUCGCCCCGAGGAUCGAGAGUGUGGAGAUUGGCCUGAAAUUGGCUCUGUGCGGUACUAUACUGGAUCAUUUGGUUGGGGAAGACAUCAUGGCCGAUUACCUUCUGUACACUCUGAAUAAGCACCAGCGGUUCAAGUACGUGGACCACUACGGCCUGGGAGAGGCUUGCGACGACAUCCGCAGCGUGCUGAAGAGGAUCGCCGUCAGACUCAGGAAGACCCAGAGAGUCAAAGUGCUCACGGGCACCGGGGACGUGAACGUCAUUCAGCCCGACUACAGCGCGGCGGCCUACGACUUCCUGCGCGCCUUCCGCAGCGGGGGGCUGGGACGCGUGACGCUCGACGCCCCCGCCCCGCGGGAGCCGCCGCCCCCCGCCGUCGCCACCGUCGGCGGCCACGCGCCGGCGCCCGGCUCGGCCGGAUGACCCGUCCGGCGCCCGAGGUCCCGGGCCCGAGGAUGGACCGCCGCGGGAGGGGCCCGGGCCUGGACCCGUGCGGGAGCGCGGACUCUUCUCGUCUGUCAGCCGUGUUUGGGCCGAGGAGAUGACGACGACGAUGAUGAUGAGGUAACUGAGGCCCAGAGAAGUGAAGUGAC